AAUAGACCUUUUUCGCAAAAACCGGAAACACGUCAGCAACGUGUAAACUUAGUUCCGGUUUGUGCUUCGCUGGCGGAGAAUGGCAGAGCCUAGAGUGUUUUCGAAGAGUCUGAGUUGUGUUCCGAAGGUCAUCAGCGCCGAUGUGAUGAAUAGUGUGAAGAUGCAUUCGUCCACUAAAGGAAACAAAUUGGACAAGGGAUAUAAUUUCGUCCACGAAGAGUUUAUCCACCAUUACCAAGAUAUCACUGGAUGCAGAAAGUGCCAACCUGAAAGCUUUCUCCUGCAGUUGUGCGGCUGCUAAAGGAUUCUGCAAUCACAUAGUUGCCAUCCUGUUCCAGAGCGCACAUUAUUCACAGCUGGGUCUGCAGGCUGCUCCCCCCCCCUGGCCUGCACCAGUGGCUUGCAAAGAUGGCACAGACCAAGAGCACAGGGAAUCCAUCCUGAACCGGUUAGUGAGCUGGUGGUGCAAAAGCCCAAAACAGUUGGCAGGGACGGUCUGAGGUCCACGCUGUACAAGGCAUAUACAGGACCACAGCCAGAUCCAUAUAUGAUGGCAUCUGGAAGCAGAUUAUGCCAGG